rnacentral:tRNA from 2 species
GCCAGUGUAGCUCAGUUGAUAAGACUGAUAAUCAAGAUUGCACACAUUAGAGGUGCAUGAGUUUGAAUCUCAUCACUGGCA